GUUAAUUAAGAUCAAAGUCCAUCUCCACUCUCGCGGUGCUAGAGUUGUCGGUUUAUUUUCUACAUUUUCAGCCAUUCAGGCUUUACAGGAACGAUUGAAACCAUUCUGCAACAAACGGUGGUCCAUUGUUACUGACGAAGUGUUCUGAAACAUCAGUCUUUGAGACGAGGCUCCUCAACACAUCCUACAGGUGUGAGGCUGCAGUGGAGCCUCUUGUAAUCCUGUGCAUUGGAGGCUCUGUACCAGGCAGUGAUGUAACCAGUCAGAAUAUUCCACAGUCUUUUUCCUGUGAGUCAGGAGAAUUUGAAGAGAAUAUGUGCACAGUAAAGAACCCUGUGAACCUCCAGUGGACCCUCUGCAAUGCCAGCACAUCAUGAAACUGAUCCCAAUACUCCAAGCACUCUGAACACCCGAGCAACACUGCAAUGAAGAGUCCUGACAGCAAAUAACAAACUAAAAGAGCAAAGUGUCUUUCAUUUGAAAGGAUCCCCAGGGCACAUCAGGAGCAUGGGCUAACUUCCAACGCGUCGAGCAUUCUAUUGGACACAUGAAUCUGCAUGAGGUAGUUUUGUACUUGGAUGAUCUCAGAGUGUUUGGGUCAACACUGGAGGAGCAUGAGACGAGACCACUGAAGAUGUCAGACCACUUGAAAGCUGAAGGUUUCAAAGAAGUGCCAGUUCUGUAAGACGUCAGCCAACUAUGUAGGACACAGACCGUUCUAAGAUAGAGGUAGUAACCACAUUGCCAAGACCCAAGACUGUGGGUGUGCCUCCCAAGAAGAAAGCACAGUGAUCAGGGAAUGGAUUUUGAAAGCCACCUCAUACAUGAGUUACUGACCGUACUUAGAGUUGAGAAGUCAAGUACAACGUCAAGGACAAUGUUAUAUCAAGGCAAUCCUCAUCUUGAGAGAUUUAACAGGACAUUGUUAGACAUAGUAGAACUCUUGAUACCAAGAAAAAGAGCAAAUGAAGUCAGUAUAGUGGAAAUCGUGUGCAUGGCUACAACCAAACUCAGAACGAAGACACUGGCUACUCGCCAUAUUAUUAAUGUUCGGGUGCAAAGCCAAAUUACGUGGAUCUUUGUUUUGGAACCUCAGGCUCAGAAGCAAAAUUUGCAGUUUGUUUUUGGUUGAACCCAGAAGAUGGAAAUGGUCCGUUAAAAAUUCUCCAUCAGAACCAUCUUUUACUUCUAGGGCAGGGAGAACAUAUUGACCCAGAGUCUGAUCUAGAACCUACACCUGGUAAAAGAUCUCAGCAAAGGAGAAGAAAAAAAGGAAAGAAACAAGCUGAAGACACUAGGAUGGUUUUGGUGGAAUGGCAUGAAGAAGAAAUUAUAAAAGAUAAACUGGACGAAUCCUUUCAACACUGUACAGACUCAGAAGGUAAGGAAAUUGGAAUGUGGCAUGACCCCCAAGAGGAAGCCCCCUAAGAGGAACUGAUUAAAAGAUUUCAGAACCCCUCAGUCUAGACCUAGUGGGAAUGCACUGGAAAAGCAGAGGUGAUAUUAGAUAGUAAGUGAAACAGACUCCAAUAUAAUAGAAGGUGAAGCCAGGACUACUCAGAGGGCAGGAGAAACUGAGUUUUGCAGUAAGAAACUGAUAGUAUACAGGAUGGAACAUCUCAAAGUAAGCAUGAAAAGUCACUAGAAAAGAUUCAGACUAAUGAAGCAGUGACUGAGAAUCAACUAUUAAAGGAAGAUGAAAGUGAAGCUGAGAUAAGAAGGUCUCAGAGUUGGGAAACUGCCAGAUACGCUGGCAUGCGUCACAUCUGGAAAUCAGAGUGUUGAGUGAAUGCCAAUAGUGAAAUAUGUUACUUCCAUUUACAAAUGGAUUGGAUGUCCUGUUAUCACUUCAUUCAUUUGAUUGCUGUGAGCCGUAUGCCUGAAUACUAUCAGAACAUAAAGGUAAACAUAAUUGUUACUGUUAUUGGGUAUAAGUGUUGUGUUAGUAUUAAUGUUUACUAUGUUCCAAAGGUUUACAAAGUCAUGAGGAUGUGCCUAUUUUAGAAGGGGGAGAAUGUAAUAUCCUGGUUAAAAACCGUGCUUUAUUUUAUCAAUACAGUUAUGUUUUUCAGCAUCUUAUUUUGCAAAUCUCCUCAAAAUGCAAAUCUAUUAAAAAGUGUUCCUCUUAUUACAUUAUAGAUUUUAUAAUAUACAUUUUCUCUUGGGUGUUUCAUUUUGAUGUUUAAUAUAAAAAUUCAGUUGAUUAAUAAGUUCGGGUUGUUGAAUUAACCAAUAGAAUUUGUGUUGUUAACACUUUGCCCAAUAAGAUGCCUGGGAAAAGAACAAAAAAGUUUCAAGAAAGAUGGAGAGAAGAAACAGACAACAAACAUAGUGGAACACUUGCAGAAGCAAAUUUGGAAGGACCAUUACAGAUGUCCGGAAAGCCUCAUGCAGACUAUAGUCUCACAGAGAAUGUGUAGAUAACCUUCAGUUAAAAAGCUAGCACCCAACAAUCAUAGAAAGAGCAAGAGGAGACAGUUUGAACAUCUUUCCAUGGAUGUCUGAAAAUGUAUUAAUUUUUAUUUUUGUUUGGAUUGGUUCUUUGGCACAGAAACAUUUCAGUACCGUGAGUAAAUGAAGUGAAGCAAACUAGACUGAUUACAUGGGAAUGAGCUUCAAUGAUUACAUGCACACUCUAGACCAGGCAUGGGCAAACUACGGCCCGGGGGCCAUAUGCGGCCCGUUAAGCUUUUUAAUCCGGCCCGCAGAACUUGAUGAAAUUAUAUUAAUAAGCCUUGUUAACAUUUUCCCCCUGCAAUUCUGGCAUUUUCCCAAUAGAUGAUGCACUCUAUAUACAUUUGUGGCGACCCAAUUCCUGGCACAUCCAAACCGGCUCACAAUUAGCCAGCGUUCCAGCUAAGGGAGAUAGCCUGCGGGGAUUUGUGAGCAAAGAGCUUUGGAGCCUCUGCGCCACGGGGGGCAGGUUGAGGGAGGCUUAAAAGUGAGGCUGGGGAUUUCGAAUAAAGUUUUUUUUCUUCAACUGCA